CCACCCGAGUUUCGCUACCCGGAAAUAGUGCAUUCGGGUGCCGAAAUGCACCCGUUUUGCAUCAUUUUUCGUUUCGGAACCGAAUGCUCAAAAACACUCCCAAACAUGUUCUAGGGUAUAAUUAUGAAGAUUGCAUGCGUUCGUUGCGAAAAAAUCCACCCGAGUUUCGCUACCCGGCAAUAGUGCAUUCGGGUGCCGAAAUGC
rnacentral:lncRNA from 1 species